rnacentral:lncRNA from 1 species
UUUUUUUAAAGAAACCACAAAAAAUUCUUUAAAUACUAUCAAUAGAAAUCUUAAUCAAAUCUUAAUCAAUUCCUAAAUCAAAUCUUAAUUAAAAUCCUAAUUAAAUCUUAACAAAAUCCUAGAUCAAAUCCUAAUAAAAUCCUAAUAAAAUCCUAAACCUUAGAAAAAUUCUAAAAAAACUCUAAUCAAUCUCUGGUAAAGUUCUAAUCCAAAUCUCUAAC